rnacentral:rRNA from 1 species
ACACUCCUGCGGGAGGCAGCAGUGGGGAAUUUUGGACAAUGGGCGAAAGCCUGAUCCAGCAAUGCCGCGUGAGUGAAGAAGGCCUUCGGGUUGUAAAGCUCUUUUGUCAGGGAAGAAACGGUGAAAGCUAAUAUCUUUUGCUAAUGACGGUACCUGAAGAAUAAGCACCGGCUAACUACGUGCCAGCAGCCGCGGUAAUACGUAGGGUGCAAGCGUUAAUCGGAAUUACUGGGCGUAAAGCGUGCGCAGGCGGUUUUGUAAGUCUGAUGUGAAAUCCCCGGGCUCAACCUGGGAAUUGCAUUGGAGACUGCAAGGCUAGAAUCUGGCAGAGGGGGGUAGAAUUCCACGUGUAGCAGUGAAAUGCGUAGAUAUGUGGAGGAACACCGAUGGCGAAGGCAGCCCCCUGGGUCAAGAUUGACGCUCAUGCACGAAAGCGUGGGGAGCAAACAGGAUUAGAUACCCGGGUAGUCCCA